AUUGAGCGCUGGCGGCAGGCUUAACACAUGCAAGUCGACCGGAGAUGAGGUGCUUGCACCUUAUCUUAGCGGCGGACGGGUGAGUAAUGCUUAGGAAUCUGCUUAUUAGUGGGGGACAACAUUCCGAAAGGAAUGCUAAUCCCGCUCACGUCCUACGGGAGAAAGCAGGCGAUUUUCCGACCUUUCGCCAAUAGAGUAACUUAAGUGGGAUUAACUAGUUGGUGGGGGAAAGGCCUACCAAAGCGACGAUCUGUAGCGGGUCUGAGAGGAUGAUCCGCCACACUGGGACUGCGACGCGGCCCAGACUCCUACGGGAGGCAGCAGUGGGGAAUAUUGGACAAUGGGGGAAACCCUGCUCCAGCCAUGCCGCAUGUGUGAAGGAGGCCUUAUGGUUGUAAAGCACUUUAAGCGAGGAGGAGGCUACUGAGACUAAUACUCUUGGAUAGUGGACGUUACUCGCAGAAUAAGCACCGGCUAACUCUGUGCCAGCCGCCGCGGUAA
rnacentral:rRNA from 1 species